UACGUAGGGUGCGAGCGUUAAUCGGAAUUACUGGGCGUAAAGCGUGCGCAGGCGGCUUUGCAAGACAGAUGUGAAAUCCCCGGGCUCAACCUGGGAACUGCAUUUGUGACUGCAAGGCUAGAGUACGGCAGAGGGGGAUGGAAUUCCGCGUGUAGCAGUGAAAUGCGUAGAUAUGCGGAGGAACACCAAUGGCGAAGGCAAUCCCCUGGGCCUGUACUGACGCUCAUGCACGAGAGCAUGGGGAGCAAACAGG
rnacentral:rRNA from 1 species